UGCCCAGCAACUCCUAUCCCUACCUCCACGCGGUACCGGCCGGAAACUAUGAGCAACCUUAGGAAAGAUCGGGUAACCAACCCCGGUGGGAACUUUGGACGUAGGAUGACAGGGAAGG
rfam:Aedes albopictus isolate Foshan contig77027, whole genome shotgun sequence.